AGUCCCCCAGCAGCCUAGGCCUAUAGCAGCAUGACUAGGGGCAGAACGAAGGGACGUCCAAGAGGGAGUCAGCUGUGCAAUGAAGACACAAGCCGAACCCCUGUGGGUCACCCAGUCAGCCCCAACUAUAAGAUUUGUCAAAAAGGAACGUUUUAAGCCUGGUCUUAAAGAUAGAGAGGGUGUCUGCCUCCCGAACCCAAACUGGGAGCAGGUUCCACAAGAGAGGCGCCUGAUAACUGAAGGCUCUGCCUCCCAUUCUACUUUUAGAAAUUCUAGGAACAACAAGUAAGCCUGCCGUUUGAGAGCGAAGAGUUCUACUAGGAUAAUAAGGUACUAUCAGAUCUUUAAGAUAUGAUGGAGAUUGGUUAUUAAGAGCUUUAUAUGUCAGAAGAAGGAUUUUAAAUUCUAUUCUGGAUUUAACAGGAAGCCAGUGAAGAGAAGCAAGUAUAGGGGAAAUAUGAUCUCUUUUGCUAACUCCUGUCAGUACUCUCGCAGCUGCGUUUUGGAUCAACUGUAGAUGGUUAAGAGAGCUAUUUGGACAACCCGAUAAUAAGGAAUUGCAAUAGAAAAGCCUGGAAGUAACAAAAGCAUGAACUACUUUUUCUGCAUCACUCUGAGACAGAAUGUUCCUGAUUUUUACAAUAUUACGCAGGUGAAAAAAGGAAGUCCUACAGACUUGCUUUAUGUGUGAGUUAAAGGACAUGUCCUGGUCAAAAAUAACUCCAAGAUUCCUCACAGUAGUACUGGAGGCCAAUGUGAUGCCAUCCAGAGUAACUAUUUGCUUUGAAAGCGAGUUUCUAAGAUGUUUGGGGCCAAAUACAAUGACUUCAGUUUUGUCUGAAUUUAGCAGUAGGAAGUUAAAAGUCAUCCAGGUUUUAAUGUCCUUAAGACAAUCUUGCAGUCUAGCUAACUAGCAAACAUUAUAUAUGUAUGUUUGUGUGCAUAUAUGUAUAUGUGUUUCUGUGAAUGAAUGUGUGUUGUGUAUGAGUGAAUCUAUGCAUAUGUAUCUGUGUGUUAUUUAAUGUAUGAAAUGCAACUAGAUAUAUCUAAACUAAAUUCUAACUAAAUGUAUACUCUCCCUAACGUCUCUCAAAAGAAGGGAUCGAAACACCGUCUCGGAACACUUUCGCUUCAAACGCUCGGCACUGUGUCGAGCAAACUGGCUCGACUGUAACAUCACUAUUUUUCCCUUCCAUCUUUAUGUGAUGUGCGGUGCAUUUAGUGACAGCCUGCUUUACUUUGUUUAGUGACGCUGGGAGACGGGUCGCUCCGUUCAGCGUGCCGUGGGUGCUUCUGUGACGACAGGUUUAUUUGCUGUUGUCGUUGGAUCUCCUCCUCCUGCAUUGCUUCUACGCUGCGCCACAGCUAACCGGGUAUGUAUCGCUCAAUGAGGAAGUGAUCAAUGAAGUCCAGGUGAUGUUAUUUAAUGACAAUUCUGCUUAAUUGUCUACCUUUACUAGGUUGCAGCUAGACGUGUGGUUCAUUGGACGUCAUCGUUCCCUGGACUGGCGGCUGUCUCGGCUGUUUCGGUUUUUUCUUUCUUUUCGCCGGCUCUUGGUUGCGGCUCUUGUUCUCGGUCUGUUUGCCGGCUCUGUGAUUGGUGCCGACAACUUGCUGUGUUUGACUGUGUUGGUGUGUAUUUUCCAUUAGGUUUACCGCCAACGUGUGUAGAGUUACUGCAUUGUACUUUUUUUCUGUAAAAAACCUCAGGCUAUGAGGAUUAUCAUGCCUCAUAUGUCACCUGUGUUUUAAAGGUUAUUGUGUGGAGUGAGUGUGUGUGUUUUUAUUGUGUAUAUUGGUCUGGUCACCAGCACUGCUAAAUCAGGAGUACUAAUUAUUUGUUUCUUUUGUGCAGGUUUGGUGAGCCUCGGCGGCAGUUUAAUCCCUGGUGGUGGUUCACGGAUCCCUUUUCGUUGGUGUGUUGUCACAGGUGUGAUUAUUUGGACCCCCUUUUUCUUCCUUUUGGCUAUUUGUUUGCCUGCCGCCAUGGUAAGCCAGCCUGCUCCCUUUAUUGUUUAAGUUUAGUACUCCUGAUUCUCUCUUUUAAACUGGUGGCUUGCUUUUUAUAUUUAAUGCCAUAAUUAAUAAAGAAAUUGUUGUAUUUUUGGAAA